rfam:Schistosoma curassoni strain Dakar, Senegal genome assembly, scaffold: SCTD_scaffold0001477
AUCCAGCUGACGAGACCCAAAUAGGACGAAACGGGUGUCAAACUGGAU